rnacentral:rRNA from 1 species
UACAGAGGGUGCGAGCGUUAAUCGGAAUUACUGGGCGUAAAGCGUGCGUAGACGGUUAUGUAAGUCGGGUGUGAAAGCCCCGGGCUCAACCUGGGAAUUGCAUUCGAGACUGCAUAGCUAGGGUGCGGAAGAGGGAAGCGGAAUUUCCGGUGUAGCGGUGAAAUGCGUAGAUAUCGGAAGGAACACCAGUGGCGAAAGCGACUUCCUGGUCCAGCACCGACGUUCAGGCACGAAAGCGUGGGGAGCAAACAGG